rnacentral:lncRNA from 1 species
GUUCCCAGAGUCAGGUGCCUGACACCACGGAGGCCCCAACUCCAUGAUUCUGUGUCUAUAAGUCAGGCAAAGUCCCAAGCUCCUGGCAUUCUGGCUAGACUCCACCCCCACAGUUACCUGGCAACAGCAAGAUAGCCUAGCCCACUAUAAAAGGAGCUGCUUGGCCCCUCCUCACUCUUUAAGCUCUCACCAUCCUUACUCUCAUCUCUAGCCCUCCUCUCUCUCCCUCCCCUCCCCCCCCCCCCCACGCGGCCAUGGACAGCCUCCCUCUUUCUACCUUCUUUCUCCCUACCUUCCUACAACAAAGCUCGGAGACUGUCUCUGCUCGUCAAGGCCCACUAUGCUUCAACAAUGGGAUAGGCUUCCCAUAACCAGCCGCGUCUAACCUCCCGUUAGAAGGCCUUCCUGCGCUCCAGCCACUGACCAGACCAAGGUCUCUCACCCACGUGGGAACCACCCAGCGCCUCCCUCUCCCCCGGCCCUCUCCUCCCUUCAGCACCAGGUCCGAUGGCUGAGAACCUGGUGCCUAGGACUACCCCUUGUCCACCACCCGCGGAGCUGGGGCCAGUGGCUUCACACCCAGACACCCACGCGGGGCUGUGGGGUAAGCGCGCGACAGUCCUUCCGAGUCCGCCCGCCCAGAGCAUCAGAACUCUGAUGGGACAGGGGUUUUCUCCCACCCCCACCCCCUCCCCCCCCCCCCCCCCCGCACUCCCUGCCCCACAAUUGUGUUCAUUGGGGGCAUGCUGCACCUUCUUGAAGACAGGAGCCAAGAAAGGAGUCUGACAUCAGGCAGCCUCAGGAAGAAAGCAGGCAAGCAAGCAGGCCAGUCAGCUGGCAGCUCCUAACCCCAGGUCUGAGGAAACUGUCUUUAAGCUGGAGGAGCUCACAGUGGCUUUGAUUUUCAGAAGAUCUCCACAGCCAAAGGUGGUUAUUACAUCAAACGGAUAACUGAAUGCAUUUCUACCAGGACCGACAAUCACACUCAGCCGGCAGGGAAAAUGAACAAAUAAUGUCAAUAAAAAAAAUUUUUCCCCCA